UUUUAGCUUUUAUUUAUUAAGUGCAUCAUAUGUGAUAUGAGUGAUUAGAAUGCCUUAUGUGAUUUGUGGAAUCACACUUCUAGUAUAUUAUGUGAUGUGGUUUAAAUGAUUGCAUUUCUCAACACAUCACAUGUCUUGAUGUGACAAGAUAAUUUUUAUCAUAUAGCUUGAUGUAAUUCAAAGAAUCACAUAUCUUAAUACAUCACAAAACAUUUCAGCACAUAACCCAGUGUGAUUA
rnacentral:lncRNA from 1 species